AUUAAACGCUGGCGGCAUGCCUUACACAUGCAAGUCGAAUGGCAGCGACGGGGGCGACCCUGGUGGCGAGUGGCGGACGGGUGAGUAAUACAUCGGAACGUAUCCUGGAGUGGGGGAUAACGUAGCGAAAGUUACGCUAAUACCGCAUAUACUGUGAGCAGGAAAGCAGGGGCUCGCAAGACCUUGCGCUCUGGGAGCGGCCGAUGUCGGAUUAGCUAGUUGGUGGGGUAAAGGCCUACCAAGGCGACGAUCCGUAGCGGGUCUGAGAGGAUGAUCCGCCACACUGGGACUGAGACACGGCCCAGACUCCUACGGGAGGCAGCAGUGGGGAAUUUUGGACAAUGGGCGGAAGCCUGAUCCAGCCAUGCCGCGUGAGUGAAGAAGGCCUUCGGGUUGUAAAGCUCUUUCGGUGGGGAAGAAAUUGCACGGGUUAAUACCCUGUGUAGAUGACGGUACCCGACUAAGAAGCACCGGCUAACUACGUG
rnacentral:rRNA from 1 species